rnacentral:lncRNA from 1 species
AAUGCUGUCAGGAGCAACACGCCACCCUUCAGUCCUGCAUCUUCUGUGGUCUCAGAUACUGCACACAACAGACGGAUCAGCAGCUCACUCUCGGGAACAGGGCUGCCAAUCCCCUAGAAUAUACAAGCAAGUCCGGGCGAUGCUGGACCCUUUCCCUUCUCAGCUGAUCACUUGUUUCCAAGGCCCUUAUUUCCUGGGGCACAUGGCCUAUGACAUUCUCCCGAUGCCAGUUGCCGUGUCAGCCACGUUCUCUGACGGAAACAGUAGAAACGAACUGGGAUCAUGUCAGCAGAUGGAAGAAGGGAGGAAGGGGGAGAGGAGAUCAUUAUUGCCAGGUGAUACAGAAGAGGGCUGAGCCGCCAGCCUUGAGAAGGGAGAAUCAUGCAGCCCUGGACUCUCGGGGUGAUUCAGGGAAAGGUGACUCAGCCCAAACACCUUCAGUCCCAGAGACAAAUUCCUGGAAGACUGGGGCAAGAGCCAACCUGAACAAGAAUGGAGGUGGAAAGGGUGGGAAGGAGGGAAGCUGUGAGCUACCUGAAGUGGGGCAGGGGGCCCCCUAGAGGAUGGGAUGCUAUGAAAGUGAAAACAUGGCUACACACCCUGCCUCAUUUAUCUAUUACCAGGCCCCCCAAAAUUGGUGUCUUAAAACCAUUAUCAUCUGUGUCAUGAGUCUGUGGGGCGAGUUGGGUGGUCCUUCUGCCUCCCCUAGUCUAGCUGUGUCUGCAGUCACCGGGGACUGGCCCGGGCUGGCCAGUCUUCCAGGCUCAUGUCCAGGCCGCGGUGGGUGUCUGCUAUCAGCUGAGACUGUCAGUCAGAGCAUCUCCACCUCCCCUCAUAGGACCUCCUCAUGCACCACGGGCAUCUCAGCAUAGAGUGACCUCCCCACGCACCACGGGCAUCUCAGCAUAGAGUGACCUCCCCACGCACCACGGGCAUCUCAGCAUGGAGCGACCUCAGCAUGGAGCGACCUCCCGCGCACCACGGGCAUCUCAGCAUAGAGCGACCUCCCCACGCACCACGGGCAUCUCAGCAUAGAGCGACCUCCCCACGCACCACGGGCAUCUCAGCAUAGAGUGACCUCCCCACGCACCACGGGCAUCUCAGCAUGGAGCGACCUCCCCACGCACCACGGGCAUCUCAGCAUAGAGUGACCUCCCCACGCACCACGGGCAUCUCAGCAUGGAGCGACCUCCCCGUGCACCACGGGCAUCUCAGCAUGGAGCUGGAACAGAAGACAGCACAUUCGAUGGUGCAAGUGGAAGCUGCAUACAGGUCAAGAGCCAGCCUGGGAGGUCCCCAUGCCCCUCUGCCUCAUCCUGUUGACCACAGCUAAUCAUGGACUCGCCCAAAUUUCACAGGAGAGGGAACAGCCUCCACUUCUAGGUGGGAGUGGCCUAGAGGCCAUGCCUUUAACCAGCACUCUCCUCUUCCUCCUUUCUAUUCCUCCCUCUCCAUUCUCUCUUCUGCUCUCUCUUGUGCCACCCGCUGUCCACACUUGGCCCCGAGCAAGGGCAAGCAGAUAAAGACCCCUGAGGUCAGUGAUGAGAGGACUCACGCAUAUCGAGGACCUCUUUGGGGAAGGAGGACCCAAAGCUACAAAAUCCUAGGAAUGGCAGGAGGCACGGGGAGAGGCAAGGGAGUGGAGAGUCCUGGCAAGCCCCCAGCACACACCCUGGGAUUAGGGAGGCUCCCAGCCAGCAAGAGGAAGCUUGACCCAGGGGGAGCUGCUCCCCCAGCCCCAGCAGCCUCGCUGAGGCAGAGCCAAGAGGCAUGUGGGCAUGCCAGGAAGUCCCCCUCACUUGAGGGCUCAGCUCCUGCAGGCUCGGAGCCUGCUGGGGGCAAGGGCCAGGUCCUUGGGCCCUGCCUUCACGUGACUAAUUUCCUGGAGUCCUGCCAAGUACAGUCUGGGUCCAGGGCCUCUGUUAACCUUUUCUCACUUGGUUACACCUCACUGGGCCCAAAGGUGUUGCAUUUGCCCUUUGACUCCCAGAGACAUGCACCACAAGGGCUGUGGACCAAUGUCCUUUCCUCUAACCCCUCUCCGCUGCCUCCUGACUGCAAAACACCCAUUUCUCCCUUGGGAGGGUGGGGACUCUGGCUGAUGGCACAGCCCCACAUUCAGGGCAAAGGACAGUUGGGGAGGAUUGAGCUGUCCGCCCCCUGCCUCGUCCCCCAGGUCUCCCACCAGACAGUGACCAACAACUGCUAAAUCCCUGAGGCGCCCCUCCUCCACUCCUCCUCAACUGUCUCAUAGAUUUUGGCAGCUGCCUCUCUCUCUCUGCCUCCACCUAGUACCCUCUCCCUCCAUCCCUCACCCCUUCCUAUCUUCUUCUCUCCCUCCUCCCGCAAGGUCUCCCUGGGCACCUUCCAGGCCCAGGUGCUGCACCCCUAGAAAUGACCAGGGCUCAGUCCCUGAGCUGACGUCACCCCUCCCAAUCCUGCAGGCCAGGGGAGAGACAGAGCCAGCUGGCAAAGCCCUCAGCAAGUGGCAGCAAGACCCCCAGAAGACACUGCCAAGUGCUGGAAGAUGGUGGGCCUUUCCAUCUGGAGAAAAGCUACGAUAAAUAAAAAUAAAUAUUACUCAUCAAUAAAAAGAAAUGAGCUAUCAAGCCACAAAAAGACAUGGAGCAACCUCAAAUGCAUAUUGCUAAUCUAAUUGGAAGAAGCCAGUCUGAAAAGGCUGCAUACUGUACAAUUCCAACUCUAUGAUAUUCUGCAAAAGGCAAAACUAUAGAAACAGUAAGAUCAGUGGUUGCUGUGGGGGUUCGGGAUGAACAGGUGGAGCACAGAGGAGUUUUAGGGCAGAGACACUAUUCUGUAGGAUCCUGUAAUGGUGGAUACCUCGCAUUAUUUCUGCAAACCCAUAGGAUGUACAACACCACUAGUGAACUCUAAUGUAAAUUAUGGACUUUAGUUCAUAAUAGUGUGUCAAUACUUGUUAAUCAGUGGUAACAAACGUACUAUCCUCAUGCAAGAUGUCAAUGGGGAAACUGGUGGGGAGGUGGGGGUGGAGGUCGCGAGGUCACUGCAAACUCUGUUCUUUCUGUGCGAUUCUGUAAAUGUAAACCUGCUCUAAAACAGAAAGUCUAUUUUUUAAAAUGGUACACAAAAUAAUAACAACGGGGCAUUUCUUGAGAUCUCUAGGGAACAUGUCCCCCUCUUGCCCAUGCAUUUCAUGUUGGAUCCAGAAUGCAGCAGCAGCACUUUUCACGGUUGCCAAAAACUGUGGCAAGCUCAAAUGUCCAUGCACUGAUGAAAGGAAUCGCAAGAUGUGGAAUAUCCAAUAAUGGAAUGUUAUUCAGCCAUAAAAAGAAAUGCAGUAUUGAUCCACUAAAAACAUGGAUGAACUUUGAAAACAUGAUGCUAUGUGAAAGCAGCCAAUCACAAAAGGUCA